GAUGAACGCUGGCGGCGUGCCUAAUACAUGCAAGUCGAGCGAGAAGCUUGGAAAUGACGCUUCGGUUGAUUUUCCAAGCGGACAGCGGCGGACGGGUGAGUAACGCGUAGGCAACCUGCCCCUGACAGAGGGAUAGCCAUUGGAAACGAUGAUUAAAACCUCAUGACACCGUAGUAGCACAUGCUACAUCGGUCAAAGAUUUAUCGGUCAGGGAUGGGCCUGCGUCUGAUUAACUGGUUGGUGAGGUAACGGCUCACCAAGGUGACGAUCAGUAGCCGACCUGAGAGGGUGAUCGGCCACAUUGGAACUGAGACACGGUCCAAACUUCUACGGAAGGCAGCAGUAGGGAAUCUUGCACAAUGGGCGAAAGCCUGAUGCAGCAACGCCGCGUGAAGGAUGAAGGCCUUCGGGUUGUAAACUUCUGUUCUAAGGGAAGAAAGAAAU
rnacentral:rRNA from 1 species